UACAGAGGGUGCGAGCGUUGUCCGGAAUCACUGGGCGUAAAGGGCGCGUAGGCGGCGCGGUAAGCGUGCGGUGAAAGCCCGGGGCUCAACCCCGGGUCGGCCGUGCGGACUGCCGGGCUGGAGCACUGUAGAGGCAGGUGGAAUUCCGGGUGUAGCGGUGAAAUGCGCAGAUAUCAGGAGGAACACCGGUGGCGAAGGCGGGUCUCUGGGCAACAACUGACGCUGAGGAGCGAAAGCGUGGGGAGCGAACAGG
rnacentral:rRNA from 1 species